rnacentral:rRNA from 1 species
CUGGCUCAGGAUAAACGCUGGCGGCGCACAUGAGACAUGCAAGUCGAACGAACUUAAUUUAAUAUUUAUAUUAAAAAGCGGUUAGUGGCGGACUGGUGAGUAACGCGUAAGCAAUCUACCUAUUAGAGGGGAAUAACAGUGAGAAAUCAUUGCUAAUACCGCAUAUGCCAUAAGAGUCACAUGAUUCCAGUGGGAAAGGAGCAAUCCGCUAAUAGAUGAGCUUGCGUCUGAUUAGCUAGUUGGUGAGGUAAUGGCUUACCAAGGCGACGAUCAGUAGCCGGACUGAGAGGUUGAACGGCCACAUUGGGACUGAGAUGCGGCCCAGACUCCUACGGGAGGCAGCAGUCGGGAAUAUUGCGCAAUGGAGGAAAAACCUCUGACGCAGUGACGCCGCGUAUAGGAUGAAGGUUUUCGGAUUGUAAACUAUUGUCGUUAGGGAAGAAAAAAGACAGUACCUAAGGAGGAAGCUCCGGCUAACUACGUGCCAGCCGCAGC